rnacentral:rRNA from 1 species
CAGUCGCCGCGGGAAUACGAAGGGUGCAAGCGUUACUCGGAAUUACUGGGCGUAAAGCGUGCGUAGGUGGUGGUUUAAGUCCGUUGUGAAAGCCCUGGGCUCAACCUGGGAAUUGCAGUGGAUACUGGGUCACUAGAGUGUGGUAGAGGAUAGUGGAAUUUCCGGUGUAGCAGUGAAAUGCGUAGAGAUCGGAAGGAACACCAGUGGCGAAGGCGACUACCUGGACUGAUACUGACACUGAGGUGCGAAAGCGUGGGGAGCAAACAGGAUUAGAUACCCGUGUAGUCCCUGUCUCUUAUAA